rnacentral:tRNA from 3 species
GGGCCUGUGGCGCAGUUGGGAGCGCGCAUGACUGGCAGUCAUGAGGUCAGGGGUUCGAACCCCCUCAGGUCCA